GCUUGGAGCAACGUCGUGGGGAGAGGGAGCGGUGGCAUCGCUCGGCUAUCAACAGGAUUAUUGAACUUCGCAGGAUAAGAAUUUGCCAAGGGCAUCAACAGCAGUUUUCCCAGGCUUCAGCACAAGGAUUAUAUAGUCAAUCCACAAAUGACUCAAAUCUUUGAAAAAACUGACAUGGUUAUCAGAGAGGCUUUGACGACAGCAAGGACGGGAGCGCUGUCUGGCUUAUUCCAUCAGAGAUUCUGCUUCCCCCUCAUUAACAUACCCAGGACAUCAGCACUGGCCAUCGGUCCCAGGGGAAUUGCUCAAAACUUUUAAGGGAAGACGCACAAGACCUCACCCCUGCAUUAUUUCAAAUAGAUCAAAUCAGGGUUCUUCAAUCCCACCGAGGAUGCACAGAGCUGAUCUCUAAGGCUGUGAUACCUGCUGCUGCUGUAAGUGUGAAAAAAAAGCUGCCUCUACCUGCUCCCUCUCAGUGCUCUGCAAUGAAAAACGCUUUUGGAGCAGCACUGGAAAUAAGCCCUCAAAAUAUCUGAUUAAACCUCUCAGGAAACUGUCACUAAUCACCUUCUCUCCUCUUGAUGGAAUAUAUUUAUGCAUUAUAAAUAUACCUACUAUGUGUGUGUGCUCCAUAAAUCACAUUCAGCACUUGUAUAUGAUGUAUAAGCACAUUCUAUAGAAUACACACAAAUACAGAUGCCAAACUCCCGCAGAGUUCGUCACUGGAAAACCUCUGAAAGGAUCUGAUCCUUAAUAUUUAAUGGGUGAGAUGCUAUUUCCUUCCUCAGCUUUUAUCUCUGGUUUGACACAGUCAUUAAGUUUGUUGUUUCCUUGCAAGAUUAUAUAAUUUAUGACCUAAUUUUAGACUUUUGUGUAACAGCGCUCAAAUACCGGUGGCGUAUCUGGAUUCCUUCUCACAGAGUGUUUCAGCAUUAGACACCAGCUAGAGCAUGAGCUCAGCUACGGGCUUCCCAUCGGCAAGGAGUUUCAAGCAUUGAAAGAAAACAGCCCAACAAUAUUCAGGUGGCAUUACAGGAUUAGCUUGUGGGUUGGGUUUUUUUCCCUGUAAGAAUAUGAUUUAGCAGCUUUUCCAAACCCUGCCGCAUGCAGCGGUUGGCAGGAAUCCCCUCUCAAUACAGUAAUCACCCCACAACUCCUAUUACUUAAAAUAUUUUUGUGUAGCAGCUUCUGACUUUGAGGCCAGUCUGGGACAAAUUGAUGCAGCCUUCCUCGCAGGGAGGGAUGGACGGAGCUGGGGAAAGCAGGUGAAGAACGUCAGUGCUUUAAAAUGACUGUUGGCCCCCUCGCCCCCUGGGAGAAAGCACAUGCUCGGCAACCACAGGCUGGCUGGGGUGAUUUUUUGCUGCACAAGAUGUUGCCAAAUAACUCUGAAACGACUGACGCUAAAGCUGUAGUCACGUUUUUCUGUGUCUUCUGUGUGUCCAGGGUGAUUCAGCGGUGUCAUAAAUACUGCCAUGAGUUUCAGGUAUUUUGUCAAUUUAAACCAUAUUGUUUGGACCAGUCUUUCAUCAAAUUUAAUAUAUUGGCUACUGCGUUAAUGCAUUUUGAGAGCACUUUAUUCCGUGUUUAAGAGGGAAGCGGCUUGUGGUUGCGCACAAGGUUAGAUGCUGGCUUUGUGCCUACAGUACAGUUAUGAGGCUUUUUUCCUUUUUUUCUACCUUACCCCGAGGUACCUAAUCCAGAUGACAGAGGUGGGGUGCACCUCAGACCAGCAGCAUGGGCAAUAGGGACCACAUACGUACAGCUCAACACACUCCUCUACCACAACAACGUAAGGCGGCAGGGGGAAGUGGGUGCCUAUGUGAAAGAAAAAUAAUCCUCAUGAAAAGGUGACAUUAUUUCUUGGAAUAAGAAAGAUUGGAGAAUGUACCUCCUUGGCUUUAAUGGAGCAGUUCCAGGAAAGCAGCAGCAACCAAAGUGUUUUCAGUAUCACAUAAUUCAAGAGUAAAAUCAUAAUUCCAAUUACUGUUUCAGCCAUUUCUGGCCUUGGGAAACCUAUGCUAAUAUUUAUUAUUAUAUGAUUGACCUAGGAUUUCUUCAUCAUUUACAUUAGCUACUACGAUAUUCAUAGUAACAUCCUUUAAAUCAUAUAAGCAGAUGUCAACAGUGCAUGAUGAAGUCACAUCCUGCAGAUUUUUUAUUUACUUAGUCCAUUUUUUUCCUGGUAAAAAUAACAUUGUGAGAUGCAUAAUCUCACCUCUACGAGGCCUCUAGGGGCAUAUAUAAUCACAGAAUGCAUUUUCAAUAAUCUCAAAAAAUGAGUCAAUUCUAUCUGAGGUACAAACAGUUAUACAAAGUCAGUAUUUCACUUCCAUCACUGCCUGACAUCAUCUUCCACACAGUGCGACAAAAUUUGUACUUAGCUCUUUGACAUGAAUUGCCACAAAGCCUUUGGAACAAAAAAUUGAGGAAAGCAAGGAAUUAAAAGGGAAUAACUUGAUUGAAAGAAUUUAGCCCUGUUUCUGGGUGCCGUAUUUUGAUUUGUAAUUUUGUCAGAUGCUUUCUUGUAAUGUCUGGACUGGCCAUUGACACCUCUAAUCUCAGUUCUUCAGUGAGGUGCCUAUGCACAAACCAAACAGGCCGUUGCCCAGAAUAUUCAAAGCUGGAAGCUGAUCUUAGUCAUCUAAAUAUUUCCUUUGCACGGGUAAGUAUUUCUCUGGGCGAAUUAAGAUACUGCAUUUAUUUUGCAGGCAGGUUCUCCAGGUGCGCUGCUUCUGAUGCUCUUCUGUGCCAAGUGCUGCAGAGCGGGCAAUACCUGACCACAACCUCCCUGAAAACAGUUUACUGUUCCACACAGGCAUUACCACCUGUAAUUCUUAUCAGCUUUAAAACCCCUUUUUAUUUUUUCUGCCCCUUCCAGCACAGAAGAGGGCACCAAAGGGGCUCCUUGGUGUCGGAGAGAUGAGCUCCCCACUGUGCAGCCACCACUCAUCUCCCUGCGAAGUGCAGCUCCCGCUCUCACCCAGCGCUGGAGAGCAGAGCCGGGUCCUUUGCAGCAUCUCCCUGGGGAACGUGCUGCAUCUGCAGGCUCAGUGCAGUGGGACCAUCAAUGCCAGCUGGAGAGGGCUGGCUUUGAUCACCUUUGUCUCUCACCCAUCACUUUUUUGCUGGAGUUAAAUUUUUCUGGACUUACAUUGCCUUAAAGGGUUUACCUGGCUCAGCAGGUGCCAGGUUUAGGAUACUUCGGGUGGUUUGUGGAUCGUUUUGGACAAAUGUUUAAGGUUCAUGGGCCUUAUACAGGCUGUCAGGCAGGUGGACUCUUCUACUCUCUGGGCAUGUAGCCCUAAAAAUGCCCUCUCAUUUCUAGAAACAAGGUGAGGUUAGAAGGUCAGAGCAGUCCUAGAUCAUGCUUCUAAAGAUUAGCAGUGUGUACUAAUUAUUAACAGUUUCUGUAGUGGUGCAGGUUACAGACACGGGACCAAACACCUGCAAUGAACCUCCUCAGGUGAAAUUCUCCUGGGCUGCAAUCACAUUUUUUCUGGAGAAGAGACUGCUGGCUGUGCUCAGGGCGAUCUGCCUGUUCCUGGCUGAAGAGGCACUUAAAAUCUACUGCUAAGAGACUUAUUAGCAAUGUAAAAAUGAAUUUGAAGCAAGAAAAGUAUUCUUCCUAGAAGAAAUGUAUUUUUUGUAAAAUCAGUGUUGCUGACAGAAGUAAUUGAGCUAACUCCUUGCCACUAUGGAUGUUAUUUGUUACCCCUUAUCUUACCAAAGCAAAGGUUGCCAAAUGCUUUGAACUUUUUAAAUAAUUGUUUCCAAAGUAUUUUGGUGGGUUUUUUUAAUAUAUAUAUAUAUAUAUAAAUUCUUUAGAGAACAGCUGGCUUCUAAUCCUUCCUCUUCCAAAGCUUUUACAGCUCAGCUUCUUCCCACUCUAGAUAUCUUUUAUUUUCCCUGUUUAGCUUUUAAUAUUUCUUAGAUAUUAUAAAAGUCUCUUGUACGGGUAAAUCUAGAGCUUUUGCUCAGACUGUAAAAGUUGUUCCUAAAGCUUUAAUAAACUGGAGUGAAAGACAAGGGGGGGAAAAAAAGAGUUUUAUUCGACCUGCUGCACGUGUUGGGGCUGUGGCUCGGUGGCACGUGCUGAGCGCCUGGCCAGUGCUGGAGCAGGGAUCUGGCCAUCGGUCUGGGGGGGUUUCUCUCUUCAGAUAAUUGCUUGGUGCCAGCGGCUGGUGGAGGGCUUGCCCCUUCCCUGCAUAUUCAUUCCUUCUGGGCUGAACUGGAUCCGGGUGCUGCUCUUCCCCCUCCAGCCCCCCCACCGGUGCUCACUGUUCCCUCCUGUGCCAAGGAGAGGGACACAGUUUUCUCGCAAACACAAUUUUUUGUUGGUUGCAUUUCACUUUUGCAACCACAGCAACAAAUAUUAACCCAGAAACAGGACAGAAAGCUCUCCCAGAGUGUGUUGUUAAAGCAGUGUCAGAGGCCUGCAGGAAAGCUAUGGUUAUUAUUUGCAUAAAAAGAAGCAAACUCAUGGAUGUGGGAAAACUGAAAUGCUGGAAAAGCAAGAGAUGACUUAUUCAAUCAUCCGGGAAAGUUGAACUCAAAUGUUUUUAGUUAUCUGUCUAGCUGCUAUCUAACUAUUUAUUUACUUAUUUUGCAAAAGACACAAAUAACGAGAAACAUCUGUCUAGCUGGAGCAGUUACCUCGCCUUGGGUUCUCAGAGGCAACAGGGAUGGGUGUGGUUUAGGCAGACCUGUAUAGCCCAGAAAAACAAAUGACAGCUGAUGCUGCAGAGGGGCGGUGGGUGUUAAAUCCCAGUCUUCAGCCUAAGGCAGCAACCUAAACCAGGGAUCGGCAACGCCCAGGCAUUUGUGGGCAACUUCUGGAGUCACUGGAGAUUCAUAUCAGAUUCCAAAGGAAGGAUCCUUGUUGAGACACCUUGUGUCAGUGUGAAACCAGGAACACAACCCCCCCCCAUGGACAGCACAGGGCUCCUUGGCCCUUUGUCUAGUCAAGAUCCAGCUGCAGUUGAGGGAUGCUGACGUGUUUGUGCUGUGGGGCCAUCGCCCAGCUGUCCUCCAGCAUCGAGUCUUAUGCCCAGAUUGAGACUUCUUGAGUCUUCAAGUGGGAACUUGGUGGUGGGAGACUCCCACCAAGGCUGAUCUUCCCUCCUUCCAAAGCCAGUGGUGUCUGGUCUUAGGUACCACCAGCAGAUCCCUGGGCGCUUGGUUGAUGGU